AACGCGUCUCCUUCUGAGUUUGACAUUUAUUAUGAGUCUCCGAGACCAUGUCGCCACCAAAAAAGAAAAGGACGACAGACAUUAGAAGUUAUUUCGCUACCUCGGCUGUAAGUACAGUGAGUGGACCCAUAAGUUAGAUAUCUAUCACGCAACGCAUUUGUUGUAAAGUCCGGUGUUUAGUAAGGUCAGCACUGAAUGUGAGGUAGAAUAGGUCUGUUAAUUAUGUAAUAUUUUUUCACAUAGGAUGCUCAGACAGCAGAGCAAGGGGCAGAGCAGAACGAUGGAGAGGUGGCUGGAGCUUCAGGGCUCCAGGAGGCAGUCAGUGUGAGUGCCAGUGACCAGGGAAGUCAAGGCAGCAGUGCCCUGGACAUGGGGAGUGCGCCAUACCAGCCUGAUGUAAAAUUCAUUGCAGCACAGCAGCUGCCCAAUAAAAGGUUGCUGUUUCAGGCCAAAUGGUUUAGCCUCUUCCCAUGGCUGCAUUAUAGCCCCACUAUGCAAAAAGUUCUUUGUUUUGAGUGUGUCAAAGCCUUUACCAUCAAAACGACCUCCUU